rnacentral:tRNA from 2 species
GCUGAUAUGGCUCAAUUGGUAGAGCGCACCCUUGGUAAGGGUGAGGUCCCCAGUUCGACUCUGGGUAUCAGCACCA